ACACACGGUGUGAGGUCAUCGAACUCGAAGGAGGUGGCCAAGGGGAUGAGGCUGUAACCGCAGGCGGGGCUGGCAGGCAGUGUGUGAGAAUGCUGCUGGCUUGGGUCAGGGGUCAGGGUUGAGGGAAGGAAGCAGGAGUACCUUGGCCUUAGCCAGUAGGGCUGAAGAGAUGGGGGUGGGGUGGGGGUGGGGGUGUAGGGCAGCCGAGUCAGUGACACCUGCUUCCCCAGCCUGGAAGGGUGGGCCCUGUAUCGUGGAGUUCCCAGAGAAGACCCAAAAGGAAGGGGCCCUCUCUUGUCUGGAGGCCACACCUGUUAGAGAAGAAAGGCAAGCAGUGAGAGCCCGGGGCACGCUGAACAGGGAGAGCAGAAGCAGAGGUACAGGAGAGUUACAGACUAUGCCCAGGGCUGUGGGGAAGCAGCUUGUUAGACACUGAGCCCACCAGGCUGCGUGGGGCCUCAGACCUUGCCCACAUGGACACCCGGGUCUCAGAUCCAUACACAGCCAUGCAGGCACCAGUCCCUCCUCAUCCUCAGAGACAGGUGCACAUGUGCACCAACUCAGAGACGCCACAGCCAGCUGGGCGUACUCCUUUAGAGGGGCUUGCAGGCCUGGCUUGGAUCCUGGCCCUUUUACAUACUAACUGUGUGACCUUGGGCAAGUGUAAUCUCUCUGAUCCUUAGUCUUCUCUUCCAUAAAACAGGAAUACCACUACUCACAUCAGUGUUGUUAGAGUCCAACAGAUGCUAUAGGGACAGCUGCCCUGGGGAGCAUUCGGGCAAACCCAUCCUAUUUCCCAUAGCUCCAGCCCCACCACUUCGGGCUGCCAGCAUCACAGGAGAGCUCAGGAAGAGUUUAGAGAUACCCUUGCUGUCCCCAGUCUCAGACUAGGUUGCACUGGAGGGAGAGGUAGUCCUAAAAUAAUUCUGCCUCCGGUGGCCUGAGAGUGCUACUCCGCACAGCAGCAUCGUCCAAGAUAAGCAGGACCUGAGUCAUCUAAGCCCUCUGAUUCUGGGGAAACAAUGUCCUCCCAGAAAAGGGAAAACUGUGAUCAUUUUUCCCCCUUCAAGUUCCAUCCGUCCAUCCAUCCAUCCAUCCAUCCGUCCAUCCGUGCAUCUGUCCAUCCGUGCAUCUGUCCAUCCAUCCGUCCGUCCGUCCGUGCGUCCAUCCAUGCGUCAGUCCAUCCAUCCAUCCGUCCAUCCGUCCGUCCGUCCAUCCAUCCGUCUGUCCAUCCAUCCAUCCAUCCAUCUGUCCAUCUGUGCGUCCAUCCAUCCUCCAUCCAGUAAACACCGAGUGCCUUUUCUGAGGCAGAAUUGUAUUACCUGUG
rnacentral:lncRNA from 1 species